UCCAACCUGCAGAGAUGUCUGGACUUCUGACAGAGAAGAGAACUGCAAGUGUUUCUGUGGUGCACAGAACAGAUCUGAGAUGGGCAGUGGCAAGGAAAGGGGAAGAGCUGAUGAGCUGCAUGCUGGGACCUGCUCCUACACAGUGCCACCGGAGCUAGGGACAGUCACACGUGAGCGCAUCAUGCAAACAACUGUGGCUGUACAUUGGUGGGAGCAGAAGGAACAGCAGCCUGUUGGAUUGUCCGUGUGUCCACCAGAAGUUCUCCAAGAGCACGGGACAGUGAGACCAGCAGCAGCAGCACCUUCAUGCCUGGCUAUGCAAGGUAACCGCAGAAGUGCAACCCGCCUGUGUGUGAGCUCUGCCCUCACGGUCAAGAGAAGCACAGAGCAGCCCCUAUGCACCUGCAUGCAGCCACCUGCGAAAGAGGAACUUCAUGGAGCAGUCCAGGGGCAAUGUUGGCGGGUCAACAGCAAUGCCCAGAAGCCUUCUGCAUUUUUGUCUGCCCUAAAGUAUUGGGGGGGUUCUAUAACUGUGGAAUCAAAAACAAAUGUGGGGAAGACAGUCCAGUACAACACGAGAAAGCUGUACUGGCAUGUGCAGUAGCCCCCCAGACAUGCUGGGAAAGAGACAUGGGGCUCCAAAGCAGACAGAGGUGCCAAAAAGGAGCCUCAUAGCGUCUGCUUUGGCUUGCUGCCACCAGUGACCGUGACAAUAGUACGUGGCAUUCGCUAUGGUCCCCUUGAGUGGCUGGCUGGUAGGAAGCGGCUCAGCUGGUUCCCGCAUGGCUCUUGGCCACUGGCAGACGGCGCUUGCGACUGAGGAGAUGGUGGCGGCGAGAAGCAGCAGCACUGCAGUCAGGUGCCGACAGACAGACGGGUCGGCCAUCGUGCUGCUGCUCCUUCUGCAGCAGCUGCAGCAAAGCUGAUGAGAAGCUGAAGUGGCUGGUGCUGUCGGCGCUGCCCGAUGACGUGCCUGCUCCGGGCCCUGACUUCUGGGAGGCGGCUUGGAGGGACCUGGAGGAGCUGGUGGAGCAGGGCAGCCUGUCCUGCUGCAGCUCCCACCGUCCCUGGAGCUCUACCGAAGUAAACAAGGACUCCCUUAAUGUGCACCAAGGAGCCUCGGCAGAGCACGUCCCCGUUAGUGCCCCUGGACACAUGCAGACUGGCACAGCCCACACAGAUUCCAGAACACAGCCCAGCUGUUUGCGCUCUUUUGUGCUGCGUGUGCUGGGCUUCUCCAGGCAGGAAACAAAACCUGCCCAGAUGAAGAAUCAAGGUCGCAAGGCAGCCAGCAGAGCAGUUGGAGAUGCCUCUGAGGAUGGCUUUUCCAGCUGGCAACCACCAGCAGAGGACUGCAUUUUACGCGAGAACAUCCUUCUGCCAGACGGACGGCUGCCUCAGAGACCGGAUAAUCUGGUGCCCAUCCCAGAGUGGGCAGUGAAUCCACCAGCAGAGCGUAGCAGCUACACAGAGGCUGCGGGAGUGGCAACAAGAAGACCAGCUCCAACCUGCAGAGAUGUCUGGACUUCUGACAGAGAAGAGAACUGCAAGUGUUUCUGUGGUGCACAGAACAGAUCUGAGAUGGGCAGUGGCAAGGAAAGGGGAAGAGCUGAUGAGCUGCAUGCUGGGACCUGCUCCUACACAGUGCCACCGGAGCUAGGGACAGUCAAACGUGAGCGCAUCAUGCAAACAACUGCGGCUGUACAUUGGUGGGAGCAGAAGGAACAGCAGCCUGUUGGAUUGUCCGUGUGUCCACCAGAAGUUCUCCAAGAGCACGGGACAGUGAGACCAGCAGCAGCAGCACCUUCAUGCCUGGCUAUGCAAGGUAACCACAGAAGUGCAACCCGCCUGUGUGUGAGCUCUGCCCUCACGGUCAAGAGAAGCACAGAGCAGCCCCUAUGCACCUGCAUGCAGCCACCUGCGAAAGAGGAACUUCAUGGAGCAGUCCAGGGGCAAUGUUGGCGGGUCAACAGCAAUGCCCAGAAGCCUUCUGCAUUUUUGUCUGCCCUAAAGUACUGGGGGGGUUCUAUAACUGUGGAAUCAAAAACAAAUGUGGGGAAGACAGUCCAGUACAACACGAGAAAGCUGUACUGGCAUGUGCAGUAGCCCCCCAGACAUGCUGGGAAAGAGACAUGGGGCUCCAAAGCAGACAGAGGUGCCAAAAAGGAGCCUCAUAGCGUCUGCUUUGGCUUGCUGCCACCAGUGACCGUGACAAUAGUACGUGGCAUUCGCUAUGGUCCCCUUGAGUGGCUGGCUGGUAGGAAGCGGCUCAGCUGGUUCCCGCAUGGCUCUUGGCCACUGGCAGACGGCGCUUGCGACUGAGGAGAUGGUGGCGGCGAGAAGCAGCAGCACCAGAGACAGUUGCCGACAGACAGAUGGGUCGGUCAUCGUGCUGCUGCUCCAUCUGCAACCGCUGCAGCAAAGCUGACGAGAAGCUGCAGUGGCUGGUGCUGUCAGCACUGCCUGAGGAUGCAGCAGCUCCGGGCCGUGGAUUCUGGAAGGUAGCGUGGAGGGAGCUGGUGGAGCUGGUGGAGCUGGUGGGGCAGGGCAGCCUGUCCUCCUGCAGCUCCCCCAGUGCCCAGAGUGCUGCCAGAAUUAAUGAACUCCAUCAAUGUGCAGCAAGGCGCCUCAAAGGAGCUGGUCCCUGUCUGUGCGCCUGGACACGUGCAGCCUGACACGGCCCACACAUGGAAGAAUGUAACAGCACCGGGGAACAGGCAGCUGGCACGUACAGUCCCAUUAAAUCCCCAUUCUAGUCAUCCUGUGGUGGUUGCUGUGUCUGUGAAGUCGCAGCGGGACGUGCGUGAGAGCGGGGUGCUCAGCAGGACAGGGCCGAUCCCGGGGAUCAGCCCGAGCUUCCCCCGCGCACCUGGCUGGGCAGCAGGUUGCCGUGCAGCCGACGUGGGGA